UUAGGAAUUUUGCGCAAUGGACGAAAGUCUGACGCAGCAACGCCGCGUGGGGGAUGAAGGCCUUCGGGUUGUAAACCCCUUUUGGCAGGAAAGAACACAAUGACGGUACCUGCAGAAGAAGCACCGGCUAACUCUGUGCCAGCAGCCGCGGUAAUACAGAGGGUGCAAGCGUUAUUCGGAAUUAUUGGGCGUAAAGAGCGCGUAGGCUGCUUUGUAAGUCCGAUGUGAAAGCCCUGGACUCAAUUCAGGAAGUGCAUCGGGUACUGCUAAGCUAGAGUGCAGGAGAGGAGAGCGGAAUUCCUGGUGUAGAGGUGAAAUUCGUAGAUAUCAGGAGGAACAACAGAAGCGAAGGCGGCUCUCUGGACUGCUACUGACGCUGAGGCGCGAAAGCGUGGGGAGCAAACAGG
rnacentral:rRNA from 1 species